rnacentral:tRNA from 1 species
GGCGUGAUGGCCGAGAGGUUAGGCGGCGGUCUGCAAAACCGCUCACCCCGGUUCGAUUCCGGGUCACGCCUCCA